rnacentral:ribozyme from 1 species
UGUGGCGACGACGCGCCGGGUGCUCCCGGGGCCGUGACCCUCAGUGGC